UGGGGGUAGGGGUGGGGUGUCUGCUUCAGGGCUGAGUGCAAUUGACAACGAACAAGAAAAUAAGAAAAUUCUUCGUUACAAUGAAGCACCUUUGCUCAGGCCUGGGGAGACUGCUGAGCAGAUUUAUUCUGGCAAAUCACUAUUCAGGGUCCAAGAUGGGACUCCUUAAAUAAAUCACAGUAAAAAUUAGAUGGAAUCAACCAGA